rnacentral:rRNA from 1 species
UACCGGCGGCUCGAGUGGUGGCCGAUAUUAUUGAGUCUAAAGGGUCCGUAGCCGGCUUAGUAAGUCUUUUGGGAAAUCCAGCGGCUUAAUCGUUGGGCGUCCAUGAGAUACUGCUUUGCUUGGGACUGGGAGAGGUAGGAGGUACUCAAGGGGUAGGAGUGAAAUCCUGUAAUCCUUUGGGGACCACCGGUGGCGAAGGCGUCCUACCAGAACAGGUCCGACGGUGAGGGACGAAAGCUAGGGGC